rnacentral:rRNA from 1 species
GUGGGGAAUAUUGGGCAAUGGGGGCAACCCUGACCCAGCGACGCCGCGUGAGGGAAGAAGGCCUUAGGGUCGUAAACCUCUGUUGUGUGGGAAGAAGGAAGUGACGGUACCACACGAGGAAGUCCCGGCUAACUACGUGCCAGCAGCCGCGGUAAUACGUAGGGGACGAGCGUUGUCCGGAAUUACUGGGCGUAAAGGGCGCGUAGGCGGUCAUUUAAGUCAGCUGUGAAAUGGUCCGGCUCAACCGGAUCAUGCGGUUGAAACUGGAUGACUGGAGUGCUGGAGAGGCAAGGGGAAUUCCCAGUGUAGCGGUGAAAUGCGUAGAUAUUGGGAAGAACACCGGUGGCGAAGGCGACUUGCUGGCCAGCAACUGACGCUGAGGCGCGAAAGCCAGGGGAGCAAACGGGAUUAGAAACCCCUGUAGUCC